GACGAACGCUGGCGGCGUGCCUAAUACAUGCAAGUAGAACGCUGAAGAGAGGAGCUUACUCUUCUUGGAUGAGUUGCGAACGGGUGAGUAACGCGUAGGUAACCUGCCUUGUAGCGGGGGAUAACUAUUGGAAACGAUAGCUAAUACCGCAUAACAAUGGAUGACACAUGGCAUUUAUGUGAAAGGGGCAAUUUCUCCACUACAAGAUGGACCUGUGUUGUAUUAGCUAGUAGGUGAGGUAAUGGAUCACCUAGGCGACGAUACAUAGCCGACCUGAGUGGAUGAUCGGCCACCCUGGGACUGAGACCCGGCCCAGACUCCUACGGGAGGCAGCAGUAGGGAAUCUUCGGCAAUGGGGGCAACACUGACCGAGCAACGCCGCGUGAGUGAAGAAGGUUUUCGGAUCGUAAAGCUCUGUUGUAAGUCAAGAACGGGUGUGAGAGUGGAAAGUUCACACUGUGACGGUAGCUUACCAGAAAGGGACGGCUAACUACGUG
rnacentral:rRNA from 1 species